UGUGACCCCCCACCCCAUAACUCUGUCUCUCCUUCCCCAUAGAGACCCCCCCGGCUGUGCUGGCCCCUGUCCUGCCCAGCGAGCAGCUGAGUGAGGUGGGGGGAGCCACUGGGGGCAAACCCUGCCUGGCCCGCAGAGUGCCCGCCCGCGUCCCCUUGGCCAGGGGCACCACAGGAGCUGCCCGGGGAGCACAGGGGCCCCCACAAACCGUGGGGGGGGGGGCAGGCUGCACCACCAGGUUCCCUCCUUACCCAGGAGAGCACAUCCCUAUUCCCAGACCUCCCCUCGAAUGAAAGCAGCACCCCAGGUACACCCCCUGUUCCCCCCCUGCCCCCACACUGCCCUGGGGGGGCCGUGCCGAGGCUCAGGACCCCCCCUGCCUGCAGGCGCUGAGCCCCUCAGAGCAUCUGGACCAUCCAACGUCGGCUUGGCUCGCCGUGUGCCCCUCACAAAGGCCAUGGUUUGUAUUGGGGGGGGGGGUGUUAAGGGGCAGGCACCAGUGUUGAGCCCCACGCCCCAAAAUCCCCCCCCUCACCGUCUCGCCCUGCAGCGCCUCGAGGUGUCCAAAGAGCGCUUCUUCCGCACGCCGCGCCUCACCCCCCGCAGCUGCGUGUCGGGCACCCACCAGGUGGGUGACAAGCCAGGGGGGUGGGGGUCUAAGCCUGCCCCUCCUCCCUCCCCUGCUGAUGGCAGCGUCACCCCGCAGCGCCCCCUGAAGUGGAGAUUGGCCCUGACCCCCCAGCGUGGCCCCAGCACCGAUGCUGCUGACAGCAAGGAGGAGGCCCCACCCUGGGAGAACAUCGUGGUGCAGCUCUUCAGGGAGGACGAGGGCCAGCAGGACCCCGAGGGGCCAGUGCAGGCUCUGCCCAGCACCUCGCCAGGCUCCAGCACAGCUCAGCGUGUGCCCCUGCUGCUGCAGCUGCUGUGGCAGGACUUGCAGGACCUUCCCGGCGUGAUAGAGGUGCUCAGGAACCUUUGGGGCUGCGUGGCCCAGCACGGCCUGGUCCCCCUGUCCCCCCACCAGGGCCCCUGCAAGCACCCGGGGCAGCUGUGACCACGUCCACCCCCCCGGGGCUGGGGGCUACCCCCAUGGGCACCGCCACACUGCUAAUAAACUAUUUUGUGCUGCACGUUGCUGUGGGGUC
rnacentral:lncRNA from 1 species